rfam:Stegodyphus mimosarum contig117399, whole genome shotgun sequence.
GCCGUUGUGGUGUAGUGGUCAGCACGCUGAACGCGUAUUCCAGAGGGCCGUGGUUCGAGUCCCAGCGAAGGCG